CUGACAAAUGUUAGACUUAUGUUCUUUUUUCCCUUUGCUGAAGCUAGUGAAUGAUCAGCCUGCGACAUUCCCUGAGACAGAAACAAAAUAUAUUUCUAUGGCAAGUUUCUGCGCAAUUACUGCAUGCAACCUCCUCUUUGUCACAGAGCAGCAAGAUUCAUAGGAAAACUGAGGGAGACUGGCAAUGUAAACCACAAGAAAUUCAAACAUGUUAGGAGAGAGCAGAAAGACAGACUAUUUCUUCCGAAAUCCCUCUGAAUGACUUGCAAGUUCCCCAUAUACAUUUGGUUUAUGCAACGUAUAGAGGAAGGGAUGCAUAUUAUAUAUGUCUUGCACAUGCCUAGAUUCUGACGACAGCUUUCACCUCUGGAUUGGAAUGUUGUGAGUUCAAUUAAACCUUAGGUCAGAGAACUGAACUCCUUAUCCAGACUGACACUGCAGUAUUGAGGGGCUGCUUUACUCACGGAUUCCACCUCUCAGAUUGGACGUGAAGCUGAGUUGUGUUGCCACAAGGCUUGUGGUUUGGUUCUAUUCUGCACAAUGGAAAAAUAACUAUCCUUGUUUCUUCUGGUCAUUUUGGACUCUGUUUGUUUCCACUUUCCUGUGAGUGACUGCUGUCCGAUUCUGUGAGAGGAGGAACUGCUGAUGCUGGAGAUUCUGAGAUAACACGGUGUGAAGCUGGAUGAACACAGCAGGCCAAGCAGCAUCAGAGGAGCAGGAAAGCUGACGUUUCAGCCUUCCCCUUCUGGACACCUUUGCGGUGGAACCUCUCAAUUAACACGAGGAAGAUCUCCUAUCGUUGGAAAAGGAAGAGGCCAUUCAGCCUCUCAAACCUGUUUAACUAUUCUUUUAGAUCAUGGUUGGUCUGUACCUUUUUGCCUCAUUUGCCAGCCUUGGUUUCACAUCCCAUAAUAUGCUCACUCAAGAAUCUAACAAUCUCCAUUUUAAAUUAAGUGCUCAUCUUGUAAAUUAAGUUUAUUUCCAGGCAGAAAGUUUUAACUUUCUUUCUGAGGCUAAUGUCUGCUGGCUCCUCCAUGCCUGGAACCACUAGCAGUUAUUUAAGGAGAUUAAAUAAUGUAGGAAGGAUUCCAGACUGUACUCCCAAAGCACCUCCAACCACAUUUAUGACUGAGCUAACUCUUUCUACACACAUCAUCAAUCAUUCUAAUCAGAUUUAAAAACUGCUGUAGGUCUCAAAAAGCUAUUAUGAAUCAUUACAUAAAUUUUCUUAAAUAAGAUAUUAAAAAUGAGUUUCAAAUUUACUUUUGAUUUCUCUUUUUCUCUUUUUCCAGUACCACAUCUGAGCUGAAACAACAGCUAAAUUUUCUCUUUGUAAAUGAGAAGCAAUAAGCAGAGAUUAUCGCACGUCAUUCCUGAUUAGUUGAGAGUGAAUGAUAUUAUUAUCAUUUGCAAUGAUUCAGUUAAGACACGUAUCAAAAUGCGUGCCUAAAUCCUAAAGCCCACAGUUCAGUUCUGUUAGACAAAUCACACUUUUCAGGUUGUCUAAGAUGGUUCAUUAGAGUGGCUAGAUCACCUAAAUGUGUAUAUGCACUAUUGCCUAUCAGUUCAAACUAUUGCAAUGAUGUGUUAAUUAAGGGUCUAGGCCCGAAACAUCAGCUUUUGUGCUCCUGAGAUGCUGCUGUGCCUGAUGUGUUCAUCCAGCCUCACAUUUUAUUAUCUUGGAUUCUCCAGCAUCUGCAGUUCCCAUUAUCACUAUGCUGUUAUUGGACAGGUAUGAAGUUUGCAUUGAAAUGCAAUCGUAUACAAAUAUCUGUUCUAGUCUGCCUCAGUCAUGUGACCUCUUCCAUGAGGAAUGCAUCCUGCAGACAUCUUAAGCCUCACUUCAAUAAAGUCCUGGUGUCAUACACAUGAUACAGUGUCAGAAAUGGUGAGUACCACAGCUAAAAUGAAAAACACAGCAGCAGAGAUGUGAGCUGCCACUGAUAAAGUUAAAAACAAUGAUCGCAUUGAAAACACUAAACAAUGGCUGCAACUUUCCCCCGCUUGCUCUUGAUGAAAUAACUGAAAACAUGAGGCAAAAUUGGGAAAUAUUCCAUGAGAAAUGACAGAAUUAUGCAGUAGCUAGAUUUACUGAACAAAUCAGGACAGUUAUAAGUUGCUAUACCUUUAUUAUGGUUGGGAAGGGAUUGUUUCAAAAUAGAUUCCAUGUAAAUCCCUCUGAAGAGCAAAAAGAAGUUACCACAGAAACUUUAAAAUAAUAUUUUAGAUGCUUUGAAGGUAUGUUUUGAGCCCCAAGUGAUUGUCACAUAUGAAUUAUCAGACUUCGGAAUGGACCUCUCAAAUUUUAAAUUUAAUGUUGAUCUCACUCUUUGUGCACCUUCUCUGUACCUGUAACAUUGUGU